rnacentral:lncRNA from 1 species
UAGUACGCAACUUUUUUAAGAAAUCCAACAACACCAAAGACGCAUCAAAGCUCUCCCAAACCUUCUAGUCUAUCAUGAAUUCGGAUCAUUAAGGAACACCAUGCAUUAAUUGUUCAGUACUGUGAAGGAGCUUUUGGAGCAGAAACACGGUCAAUAUAGGGGAGGAUUGUUUUGCACUUCUACAGAACGAGACAAGCAAUCUGUGCAAGUUUUUAAUUAUACAUACUAACUUAAUUUGAUCGUUUCAAGUGCAACAAAUAUCACUACCCAAAUGGUAUGUCCAUUUGGCAACUCAAGUGCAACUAGCCUAUGUGCACUAGAGUACUAUGUGAUCAUCACAGAAAGGAGAAACUAGCCUAUGUGCACUAGUGCACUAGAGUCCAUUUGGCAACUCAAUUGCUAUUCUUUUAAUGAUCUUUUUCUGCCAAAAAAAUUGACAUGAUUUAUUUCUGUUAGUGGAAUUGGGGUUUACCCUUGCUAUAGAAAAUAAAAGGGUUGCUGAAUAUUCAAUCAUUUCCCUUGAUAUUAAUACCUGGCAUCAUAAAUCAGACAAUAUGAAACUGGAAUUGAAUUGUCAAUCUGCAUGUGUUCUUCAAACCACUCCAUCACCUAUACGCAAUGCAUCUUAUCAAAUGUCCAUCCUACAAUCACAUGUCUAUACAACACUUGCUCCCUAUAUAAUUGCCCCUCUUCACUUCAACAACAUAAAACCACAUCCAUGCUUAACACAUCCACAUAACUCUAACAUAUGGACAUUUUUGUAUAAUAAAAGGUUACAUAAAACAUGGAAGAUGAUCGUAGACAUAGAAUCUAGAUGGUAUCAGUAAACACAUAUGAUAAGGGGGGCCACAGAAAGAAACAAAUUCGAUUUUGGUGUCCAGAACAUGUAGUAGGAGUCGUGCCCAUUGCCACACUGUGCUACUCCCAUCUAUGCUUGUACCUUGGAGAACAAAGUGGUAUGUUUCACGUUCAUUAUGUCAAGCUACAUCUUUAGCAUAUUGGCACACGAAUAGAGGUUGCAGCAUGCAAGCAACUACUAGGAGGCUAUAAACAACCUACAUGACUUGACCAUGAAGGAGCAUACGAGAUGGUUCUAUGGGAGGCAAAGGGAAUAUUUUCUUUUUCUUGAUAUCGAUUUGUUUCUAGUAGUAACAGAAAGAAGAAUUUUUUUUGCUACUCUUCCCUCCACUACCAAAGGGAGCGUUUUCAUUCUCUCUCUAUUGCACAACUAUGCUUUUUUACUUAUCCAAGCUAGAAUAACACUUAACAACAAUAAGGGUGAACCGAGGGGCCUUAUCCCAUGACUUUUGUGUCGCGGGACACUAGUCUUCCAUCAUGCUAAGCGAUGUGCUUUCUGUCCAUAGGUGUAUGAAUGUCAUUAAACACUGUGUUUGGACAUUUAGAUUCUAAUAUUUCCAAAAGUUUCAGCAGCAGAGUUCUUCGGGUGCACCUAUUCUUUUGGGGAAAUCCGAUUGAAAAAAAACAUCGGGAAGGAGAGGUUGAGACCAAUCCAAUUCAUUAGUUUCAAGCAUGAAAAAUAGGAGCACAACUUUGAGGCACACGAUCUUGCUAAGUCGGCUAAACCUCUACAGUCGCAAUCGGGUAGGUUCAUUUUGUUGCUCUCACCUCCAUAGACCUCUACAAUUCACAUAAACUUUUUGACAAAUUAAUGAACCUUCCCUUAGUAUAAAAAAAUGGCCACCCCGAUAAAAUGUGUUGCACAUGCCUCAGUUUUUUUACUUCAUGACUGGGGAAGAUGCUUGCGAUAUAUGAAUUUGAAUCUUUAAGGAAGUCUGUGCGUUAAAGGUUCCCUACUGUGAAUGAGCUUUCGAUUAUAAGCAUGUUAAAAACAUAUGAGGGUUAUUUCCAAUCUCGAGGAAUGAGAUAAGCAAUUAAUGCAAGUUGAUAGAUAGAAUUAAUUAAUUUGAAUUUUUCAAGUGUAAAAAAAUAGAAAUAUCACUAUCAAAAUAUUGUGCAUUUAGAAACAUAAUUAUAAGUUACCACUAGCCUCCUUCAUGUGCUCUGGAGAUGACCAAAAAUAUUCAUGUUCCAGUUAGUAAUCUGUAAUUAUCUAACAAAGGAGAAAGGGCAAUGAUUAUUUUUGUCUUUGUUUUCGAAUAUAAGAAACAAAACUUGUUUCUGUUAUUGGGAAUUGGGUAAAAGAAACAGUUAGGAUUGCUGAAAAUGAUUUCUUCAAUCAUUUGUCUUGAUCUGAUUGCUCAACUUCUCAUAAGUCUAGGUAUAGGUAAUGGAAAUAGAACAGUAAAUCUUCAUUUGUCCUUACAGAAGCCAUGCCCUCCAACUUUACCAAUGCAUCUUAUCAAUUUCCCCACCUACCUUCACAUGUCUAUACA